AUCUAGUUGUGAAGUUCUCAGGGCAAGAGUUUAAUUUCAAGUUAGGAAAUGGAGAUGGUUAAUAUAGGAGACAUUCCAUUCUCAACUCCUCUUGUUCUAAUUCUCAUAAUGUCCAUCCUUCUGCUCUGGGCUGCUGAGAAGAGGCUCCGUGUGUCCAGGCAUCCACCAGGCCCUACAAGGUGGCCAAUCGUCGGUAACCUGAUGCAGAUCGGCAUUCUCCCCCACAAGGACAUGGCUCACUUCUGCUCCUCCUACGGCCCGCUUGUCUAUCUCCGCCUCGGCACCGUCGACGCCAUAACCACCGACGACCCGACCGUCGUCCGCGAGAUCCUCGUCCGGCAGGACGACCUAUUCGCAUCCCGCCCGAAGUUGGUGUGCGCCCUCCAGUUGAGCUAUGGAGGUAGGGGCAUCGUCUUCGCUCCGAUUGGCCCGCAAUGGAAACGACUGCGCCGGACCUGCGUGGAGCACCUCCUCACCGCCAGGCGCUUCGAGUCUUUUUCCGAGAACAGGGCGCUGGAGGCGCUCCAACUCAUGCGCGAUGUGCGAGAGAAGGCGUGCAAAGGCGAAAUAAUCGAAGUGAACCAGGUGCUCGGCGCCUUCACGAUGAACAACGUGACGAGGAUGCUCCUGGGGAGGCGGAACUUAGGGACCGACCCAGCCGAGGCGGCUGAGCUGUUGAGCCUCACGAACCAACUGUUUUGUCUUCUGGGGUCGUUCUAUCCCAGCGACUACCUGCCUUUGUGGAGGUGGCUCGUCGACUUUUUCGUCGGGACGGAGAAGAAGAUUAGGGAGAUUUCCCGGAGGCUGGAUGGGUUCCUGCAGAGGAUUAUCGACGAACACCGGCAAGCCAUUGAAGCAAAGAAUCAAACAGAUGGUGGGCUUGGCGAGAACAGGGACUUCGUUGAUGUGCUGCUUUCAUUGCAGAUGGAUGUUAGGGAGAUGAAAGCCAUAAUGCUAGAUAUAUUCGCGGGGGGGACUGAUACUUCUGCGGUGGCGAUCGAGUGGGCGAUGGCGGAGGCGAUCAAGAACCCAAAGGUGCUGGAGCGGGCACGGGAAGAACUGGACAGAGUGGUCGGACGGGAUCGUAUGGUCCGAGAGUCCGACUUGGGAGAUCUGAAUUACCUCCGGUGCAUAGUCCGGGAGACCUUCCGGAUGCACCCUCCGGUGCCGCUUCUGGUUCCCCACGAGUCAACGCAGGCCACCGAACUCAUGGGGUACGACAUCCCGGCGAAGACGCGGGUGUUCAUCAAUGCGCACGCAUUGGGGAGGAACAAACGCGUGUGGGGCGACGAGGCAGACGAAUUUCAGCCUGAAAAGCACCUCCCAGCUGCUGACGGGGAGAAGGUCGAGGUUCUCCGCAAGGGUGAGCUCGAGAUCUUACCCUUCGGCGCGGGGAAGAGGAGGUGCCCCGGCGUGACGGGGGGAAUGACGUUGGUGUUGUUGGCCCUCGCGAAUCUCUUCCAUGGCUUCGACUGGGAGGCGCUGGAAGAGAUCGACAUGGAAGAGGCGUUCGGCUUGGUCCUGCGCAAAGCGAAGCCGCUGCGGGCCAUGGCGCGACCACGUUUGGCUCCUGCCCUGUUUCAGUGACCCGCGGCAAGGAUGGUAUCAAAAGAUCUUGGACUCAGAUUAAUUUGAACCAAAAUUGUGCUCGAAUUGGAGUUUAAGCAAGACGAUCAAGCUUUGGAGCAAUUUGAACCGUCCAUCCAAGAUCAAGAGAGAUAUGAGAUUUACAUCGAAGAUCUACUCCGUCGGAGCCAUGUGGAAGUAGAUCAUAACUUUUGAUCCAAAUCUAAGAUGUUUGAACCGUUGAUCAAGAUGGAAGAAUUUUAGACCGUUUGAUCAAAUUGGAAGUUUAUUUAAAAGGCGUGAGAAGCUACAGUGAUCUGUGGGCUCGGCCGUUUUAUUUCCUCGCGAUUUUUCCACUAUUCAUCUUCUUCCUCCCGAUGCUUCCGUCCAUAUUCAGGAUCUGAGAGAAAGUUCUAUCACCGACGGCGAUCUCUGAGUUGCCGGCGUUCAUCAUCUGAAGUCACAGAACAAUAGAGGGAGAUAUCCUAGUCCGUGAUUUGGAUGUCUGUUCAUUACCGGGUUCUAGAUCGAGGGAGGUUCCUGAUCUGUGAAUUUCGUCAUCCAAGAGCUUGAAGGGAGGUACCCAGGAGUUUCCGAUUCCAUUCUGAUCUUCAUUCCGCAAUGAUACUAGAUCGAUUUGAUCAAUCGAUCUGGUUAAGCGAUUCACAGAGUUCAUCCUCUCUUCUUUAGGCGAUGUGAUUACCAGCUAAUUGGGAGCUUGAAGGGAGGUACCCAGGAUCCGUAAACGUCAUUUGAUAAUAGUCAACAGCUUGGACAUUCCUCAUCGGAUGCUUGAAGGGAGGUUUCCAGGAGCAUUUCUGUGUCACGACAGAGUAUAAAAAUGUACAAGGACCAUUUAUUGAGCCAAAUCCAGCCUACCAGAAUUUAUAUAGGUUUCAGGAGGUUUCAAUAUUUACUUGGCCACACUCUUUUCAACAGAACGAUCCUUAAUUUGAAGAGUCAACAUGGAAAAUCAAUGAGGUUAUGCAACAACUAAGAGAGCAUCAAGAGCAAUAAUUAGUAAGGAUACAGAAUAUACAGAGUCAAUUAGAUCAAAUUGCAUCAGCCAUCAACCAGCUACAAACACAAAACUCCAGUGGGGAGAUGGAAAGUAGAGAUUUUGUCAGAUCUGACCCUACUUCUAUUACUUCAUAAGAUUUUUCUAGUAGUUUUUGUGAUGAUGAUG